rnacentral:rRNA from 1 species
UACGUAGGGGGGCAAGCGUUGUCCGGAUUUUAUUUGGGCGUAAAGAGCGUGUAGGCGGCCUGGAAGGUCAGCUGUGAAAAACUCGAGGCUCAACCUCGAGACGUCGGUUGAAAACCACCUGGCUAGAGUCCGGAAGAGGAGAGUGGAAUUCCCCGGUGUAGCGGUGAAAUGCGCAGAUAUCAGGAAGAACACCAAUGGCGAAAAGCAGCUUUCUGGGGACGGGUACUGACGCUGAGACGCGAAAGCGUGGGGGAGCGAACAGG